UACGUAGGGUGCGAGCGUUGUCCGGAAUUAUUGGGCGUAAAGGGCUCGUAGGCGGUUUGUCGCGUCGGGAGUGAAAACCCAGGGCUUAACCCUGGGCUGGCUUCCGAUACGGGCAGACUAGAGGUAUGCAGGGGAGAACGGAAUUCCUGGUGUAGCGGUGAAAUGCGCAGAUAUCAGGAGGAACACCGGUGGCGAAGGCGGUUCUCUGGGCAUUACCUGACACUGAGGAGCGAAAGUGUGGGGAGCGAACAGG
rnacentral:rRNA from 1 species